AUUGAACGCUGGCGGCAGGCCUAACACAUGCAAGUCGAGCGGAGCGGCGGACGGGUGAGUAAUGCCUAGGAAUCUGCAUGGUAGUGGGGGAUAAAGUCAGGAAACGGGCGCUAAUACCGCAUACUAUCAGAUGAGCCUCGGUCGGAUUAGCUAGUUGGUGGGGUAAAGGCAUACCAAGGCGACGAUCCGUAACUGGUCGGAGAGGAUGAUCAGUCAAACUGGAAUGUAGACACGGUCAAGACUCCUACGGGAGGCAGCAGUGGGGAAUAUUGGACAAUGGGCGAAAGCCUGAUCCAGCCAUGCCGCGUGUGUGAAGAAGGUCUUCGGAUUGUAAAGCACUUGAAGUUGGGAGGCGUUACCAACAGAAUAAGCACCGGCUAACUUCGUGCCAGCAGCCGCGGUAAUUC
rnacentral:rRNA from 1 species